AAGUAACUAACUCAAUGGUAGAGUAUUUCGCUUACAACGAAAAGGUUGGCGGUUCAAGCCCGUCGUUACUUA
rnacentral:tRNA from 1 species